UACGAAGGUCCCAAGCGUUAUCCGGAUUUAUUGGGUUUAAAGGGUGCGUAGGCGGGCUAUUAAGUCAGUGGUGAAAGCCCCAAGCUUAACUUGUGAACUGCCAUUGAUACUGAUGGUCUUGAGUACAUUUGAGGUGGGCGGAAUGUGUCAUGUAGCGGUGAAAUGCUUAGAUAUGACACAGAACACCGAUUGCGAAGGCAGCUCACUAAACUGUAACUGACGCUGAGGCACGAAAGCGUGGGGAGCAAACAGG
rnacentral:rRNA from 1 species